UACGUAGGGUGCAAGCGUUGUCCGGAAUUAUUGGGCGUAAAGAGCUCGUAGGCGGUUUGUCGCGUCGGCUGUGAAAACUCGGGGCUCAACCCCCGAGCCUGCAGUCGAUACGGGCAGACUAGAGUGCUGUAGGGGAGACUGGAAUUCCUGGUGUAGCGGUGAAAUGCGCAGAUAUCAGGAGGAACACCGGUGGCGAAGGCAGCUCGCUGGGACGGUACUGACGCUGAGGCGCGAAAGCGUGGGGAGCAAACAGG
rnacentral:rRNA from 1 species